AUUUAAGUAGUUUAAAUAAAAUAUUAGUUUGUGGUACUAAAGAUGUAUUAUUUACUUUAAAUU
rnacentral:tRNA from 1 species